UCUCUCUCUCUCUCUCUCUGGCUCUUUCUCUCUUCACUGGCCUCUUCCUUGAUCUUCCACUUUGUUGUUCUUAGGCUCCUUUCAAGCUUUUUCACUGUGCAAUUUUUCCACUUGUGUGUUCCUGAUCUCUCCCUUUUCCUAUAGUGGUUGACAUGGGAUUUUAGUACUAAGAAAAAACACAGCAGUUCUCUCUCUCUCUCUCUCUCUCUCUCUCUCUCUCUCUCUCUCUCUCUCUCUCUCUCUCUCUCUCUCUCAAGACAAGGGUUUCGAACCUUUUUCUUAAUGCCCUUGAUUUACUUUUGUUUCUUCGCUUUACCUUUUCCUUUAUCUCACGGGAUGCUAAAAGUUGGGUAAUUAUAGAAUCUAGGGUUAGGGUUUUUAUCUCAUCUGCAUGUGGAUCGGUGAUGACAAAUUACCCCUAUAUGAAGAAGCCCGAGUCAUUGUUUGCCUUUGCAGCAUCAUGAAGAUUCACAAGAGAACUUUCUUUUUUGAAGAGAGCGUCUUUUUUAAUAAUUAACGGUGGUUUAGUUUAUGUGGUCCCUAAUUCCACCUUAAAAGCGUCUCUCUUCAAUAUGAUUUUACCAUGGGAAUCUUGAUGAUGCUGCAGUGGCAAUAAAUGGCUAUUCACUCUCAAAAGCCAGAAGUCAGAGAUCAAAUUUACGAGGAUGAAGGUAAUUAUACUUUUAUCAGUUAAUCAAAAGCAAACCCUAAUUUUUCAAGAACUCUCCAAGAAGAAGAGGAGUUUAGAAGAGCGAUGCUUGCUAUCUUUGUUGAUGGGUCUUGAGGUUCUUGGUUCUGUUAACCCAACAUGGAACAGAGUUUAAGUUCGAGAAAAGGAGAUGACUUUUCCUUGCAACGCACCAGACCUUUCGCUCGCUAUGUCUGUACUUGCGUACAAGAGAAGAACUCGGGUAACUCAAGAGCAUGAUGCGAUUGAAAGCUGUUUCUGCUUCAUGUAUAUUGUUAGUAUAUCGUGUCAUCUUGGGUAUGUGUUUUUUGAAGGAGUUUUUUGAGUCUCAUUUGCCCAUAUACUGUUCUCGUUUGGUUCUGUAAGGUUAGCAAGUUUGCUGGAGCAGUCAUUAGAUAGCAAUAGAUGUGCAAUACACGCUUUAACUGGGAGAGUUGCUGACUUGCUUUUUUGCGAUAAUAUAUCAAUUGUACGUUAUUACGCAUUCUGUGGUUUAAUCCAUGGUUUCCUUUGGCAUGUCUUUUUUCUCUGGUUCACCUCGUGUCAGCCUUAUUUAGGUGUUGGCAUCACUAAACGUUAUCUUUCUCAAGAGCGGAGACCGAGUCGUUGAGUUAUUUUCCUUAUGUCACCUGACUAACCUCACUGCUCGUGCUCAUCCAUCACAUCUUAACACAGAACGACAACAUUUGGCCAAGAAGAGGUACGACAGCAGAUUUCAGGGAAGUUUUGAUUCUAAACACCUGAAAAAUGGCUAUCUUCCUUUCCAUACUUACAUAGUGGAAAGAUGGUUCCUCUAAAUUUAGUGAGAUUAUCAUUAUCCUAUGCUAGGAAUCCAUCUUGUGCUGUGUUUUCCUUGGUAUGAUGGGAUCUGCAAGACGCACAAGUCAAAUACAAGAAAGGACUACAUGACUCCAUCAGAGCAGUUCUUCUUGCCCAAAUUUCCCCAUCUUUGGAAACCUGAGCAUCUGGGUUUGUAGUGGUUCUAUGGUGGAUUGGAUAGCUAGCCUUUAUUUCUAUGAAGUGGAUCUUUUUCAUUCACAUCUCCAUAAUCAAUCCUUGAAGACCCUUUUCUUGAAUUUCUUUUUGGGUGAUCUUUUGAUCAGACCCCCUUAUAUCCAGUGGUGCUAGGCUUGCGAGUACUUACUAAUCUGUGACUAUGAGGUGGAACAAAAGAGUAAUCGGUCUUGUAUAAAGAGAACUUACAUUAGAUUCUGUCCAGAAAGAUUUUUGUGGCGAGUUCGCAAUUAUUUGACACACAAGACGUUUUGUUUA